ensembl:processed_transcript
AGGGGGGUGCCACUGCCGCGGCGCUAGGCCCGGAGCCCCGCUUGGGGAGACUAGAGCACUCACCCUGGGCCUGCUGGAGAGUUCCCGGAGAGAGGGUCGCCGCUCGCCGGCACCGGGGCGCUCGGGUGAGCACUCGCAGAGGCCGUUGACCGAGCGCACCGAGGCGCCCGGGCAAAGAAGCGGCGGAGCGGCCGCGACGGGCCGGGACAGACGCGAGAACGGCCAGGACUGGCCCCUUCCAGGAGCCGUAGCGGAAGUAGGUUCCUGGUCAUGUGACAAAGGAAGGGCGGAUGUUGCAUGCAGGUUCGUGAGAGGGCGACGAGGAGCCAUUUUUGUUGUGGGCAAAGUACUCCAGGCUCAGGUGAUUCCUGUUGAGGAUUUCUAGACUCUGUGAUCUUUAGGAGAGUUUGCAGGUAAACUGGUGACUUGUUUUAAAGGAACGCCUGAAUAAAAAUUCUUAUGGUGGCCCGCGAAUUUGCAUAUAUAACUAAAUAUUGGAAGUAAUUCUUCAGCACUCAAAUUUUGCUUUCUCUAAAAAUUACAAAUUAAGAAUCCGAGAAAAGGGGACUCUGAAUUGUGUAUCAAGAUAGUAGGGGUCAGAAAUCUCUUUCAAAUCUAAACACCCAACUUGUGGCUCCCCUCUGGAAAGCAAGAACCAUGCUUGCUCAUAAAGGAUAGACCAGAAGCCAAAUCAGGAAAUACAGAUUUAUGCCUUGAUUUUCAUAACCUAGCAACCUCAUCCACUGUUUCCCAUCCUUGGAGUCAACCAACCAGGGUUAAAGAAGUUUUUUCUUAUCAUCUGUUCAUAUUAUAGUUGAGCCUGGUGCCACACCGUAGAAGUCCCAGUAUUGGGGACUUGGGAGCUCGAAGCUAUAGGAUCAAGAGUUCCAGGUCAGCCUCAGCUAUGUAGUUUGUAGGUAUGUAGCUAUGGAAGGCCUCUGUCAUUAUCUAGAUCAAACAUACACACUUUUUUUUUAAAAAAAAAAACAGUAAACACCUUGAUCCUUUUUUAAAAUAAAGAUUUAUUUAUUAUUAUAAGUAAGUACACUGUAGCUGUCUUCAGAUACACCAGACGAGGGCAUCAGAUCUCGUUAUGGAUCAUUGUGAGCCACCAUGUGGUUGCUGAGAUUUGAACUCAGGGCCUUCAGAAGAGCAGUCAGUGCACUUAACGGCUGAGCUAUCUCUCCAGCCCCAUACACGCUCUUUUUCUUGUGGUUAUUUCUUACUAGUAGAGUCUAACAUAUUUAUAUUGGUUUAAAUAUAUGUAAUCUAGAGACAGUUUUAAGUGUUUGUGGGGAUGUGCAUAGGUUACCUGCAACCAUCAAGCCAUUUUUUUAAAUUUGUUUUUCCAUCAAGCCAUUUUAUAUAAGAGACAUAAGCAUGUGGAUAUGAGCUGUGAUUCUGGAAUAAAUUUCUCACUCCCUUGUGCAAAGGAAAAGUAUUUACUCAAGUGAUAUAGUCUUGAAUCUAAAAAUAUUUCCAAAGUCAAUCUUUGGCUCAUUCUUAUAACCACAAUACUAAGGAACCAGAGGUAAGAGGGUGGGAGGAGUUUCAGGCUUGCCAGUACUACACAGUGAACCCUGUCUCAAAACAACAAAAACCCAAACAAAGAAAAUCUCAGAUGAUACUCCAGAAAUGCUGUUUUCCUUCAAAACAAUGUGUCAAGCUUUCUGAAUUUCACUCUUGUGUGUCCUUCCUAACACUGGUGUAAGAUAAGUAAAAUUUCCAUUUACCCUCUUAAGGUCUCAGUGAACACCCAAUUAAAUGGGCAUAAAACAGCAGGUGAACAGGAUGGAAGCAUACAACUUUUAAUUAGUAAUUUUUGCUUGUAUGUUGGAGUAUAGAAAAAUGAAGACACAAAGAAGUUCUUGGGGCCAUAAUCUGUAUCAGAAGCUGACCAGUGCAGUGAAUGGUAAAACUGUGGGAAGACACUUUUUAAGGGUCUUUGUCUCAGAAAAAAAUAUCUUUAUUUCAAAGGGGACUACUGUGGGUGGUGUAUCCUGCUACUUUAUAGUGACAAAUAAUUCUCCUUGAUGGACAGAUUAAAUAACAUUAUUCUGUCAUUCCAAGUCAGGGCCUUUGGGGGGAAGUACAUCAUCAAGACUUUCUCUCCCUCUCCCUAAUCCCUUUCCUUCAUCCCUCUUCCUCUCCCUCUCCUUUUUUUCUCUUCUCUCUCCUUUCUCUCUCUUACCCCUCCCUUCCUUGGCUUCAGUCCUUGGCACCAGUGAACUCACCCAUUUGCCAGAGAGCAGCUUCCCAAUAAACCUGUCUUUAAUCUAAUCUAAUCUAAAUUGGUUUAAAUGGGUUGAUUUCACCAGCGGCAGAGAGAUAACCUAUCAAGGGUCUUAUUGCUCCCAUUAGCCCUUACACUUCUUAAAUGUUGCAGAUUGCUUUUUCUUUUGUCCCUAGCUCCUUCUUUUCAAAGUUUUGAAAUGACUUUUAAAUAAAGAUCCAUAAUUCAGUUAUCAAACCCAGGUCAUCUUCUGUAACCCUGAUUUAUCAUUUAUCUUCGGGCAUCAUGUGAGUCUAUUAAACAAGACAGUGUUUCAUAGAAUGUCAGAGCACCUAGUAGUGUGUGAUACAAUCUUAAACGAAAAGGUGUGUGCAAUGAAUGGUGCUUUCUCCAUCCACAUGAAAGUCUAUUCCUUCUUGUGUCCUGUAUUAUAGAUUCAUUAUGGGUCUUCCUUUUCAUCUCUCACUGAUGUGGACAUUUCUGUUUGUGAGUUAAUGUCAUUGGCUUUUUCUAUACCCUCAUAAUAUAUAAAUCCAAAUAAUCUCAUCCACUUAGUUUAGCUUCAUCCUGUUGCAUGACUUCUAGCCAUUGCUACUUAUGUUUCCCAUUAGGGAUUAAACCCUAGUGGGUUUUACCUUAUUUCCCUUUUUUAACUCAGACAUUCUUCAUUUACUGUUUCUCAUUUAUGGCAAGAUUAUUUUUUUUAGGCAUCAAGAUUCAGAUUAUUAUAGUUAUCUUUUACUCUCUUAAUUUGAUGGUUAUUUUCAGUGAAGAUGAGUAUUCUUUGAUCUUCUUCUUAAUUUCAAAAUUGUGUAUUGCUUUUAUAGUGACCAUUAUUUUUACAGUCCAAAAUAAACUUCAUUCCAUUAGGAAAAAAAAAACCCAAAAUAUGAUAGAAUUGUUCCUUUCAUUUUAUUUUGACAAAACAAUAGAACUUUAGUUAUAUUUACAGAAAUGUGGUAGCAAGUUACAUUUGAAAUAUAGAAAACCUUUGUAAAAUUAGCAAUAAAAUUCAAAUUUAAACAUUUUUAAUACUUUUAUAAAUAAAUUAAUAAUGUUUUAUCUCGC